rnacentral:lncRNA from 1 species
CCCUCAAAUCUCUUGUUCAGGUAAGGAGUUUUCAGAUCUUUCUUCUUGACCUCUUGCGAUUUGCAGUAUCUGAUGGUUUGGUAUAAUCUUUGUGUAGGUUGGGCAUUACUUAGCCAGCUUUGUCAGCUCUACCUCUAAGGCUUCAGUGCUAGAGCUUACAGCAGUGAAGGAGAAAAUCGAUUGGCUGAAAUAUCUUUUGGAACAGGUAGAGAAGACUAAUGCCGAGCUGACCAA